rnacentral:lncRNA from 1 species
GCGAACUUCGUUUUCCAGCCUCCAUUGCUGCCGUACACUGAACCAAAACGACGGAAACACAACCAAAAUAAAAGGAUGUGACACGUUUGCGUCAGGCUACUUCCUUCGC